ensembl:lncRNA novel transcript
AGGAAACACAUUUCUACUGUUUAAGCCACUUGGCUGGGAGUACUUGGUUAUGGCAGCCUGAGCAGACUAAACCAGCACCUCAAAGAGUUGUUAUAGGGUAUGCUUAGUGGUAACUGGUUCCUAAAGGCCUUGCUUUCUAAGGCUGACUCCUCACCCUGCAAGGAUGCAUUCUCCCCACUGGCAGAUAUGCAACCAGGAACAGGCAUUAACACGCUUUAUUCCCAGAGUUUUAAUAUUUUCCAUUGCAUAAAAUAUUUGUUCAUGAAAAUGACAAAAUUGCUAUUAGAUUCUAUCACCACAUCUCUGUUGAUUUUACUUUCUGCAAACACAUACAAGUAAUGUAGGCAUACAGUUAAAAAUGAAACCUUAUCCUGUAGUUCCAGCUACUAGGGAGGCUGAAGCAAGAGAAUGGCAUGAACCUGGGAGGCGGAGCUUGUCGUGAGCCCAGAUCAGGCCACUACACUCCAGCCGGGGCAACAGAGCGCAACUCCGUCUCAAAACAAACAAACAAAACAAAACAAAAAAAACUUAUAGACAAGUACAAAAUGAGAAGAAAAAGUCCCUUUCCCUUCAUGCCUCUACUUCCUGCUGUAUUCUCAAAGGUAAGCACUGAUUACAGUUUACUUAUGGAUCUUUCCAGGAAAAUAUUUUAUGCAUUUAUCAGAAAAUGUAAGUAUAUGCAUCCUUUAAAAUUCUGCAUAAAUCAAACUCUGCAGGGUACUAUCUUCCCAUCCUCAUUUGAUAUUUUGUAGAUCUUUUCCUAUUGGCUGUACAGAUCACCUCAUUCUGUCUCCUGGGUCAUACAAUAUAGCUCACAUAAUUCUAAGUCUGAAGGUUGGUCCAAAUGGUUCCAAGAAUGCAGGUACCAAAAAGUAGUCUCUUGAAGAGGCCAUCAGAGACCUGGCUGUUUGUAUCUUCCUCCUCUGCCAUCCACAGUGUCAUCUUCACCCAAGGUGGCUGGAGAAGCUGUUAGGAAUAUGUGGUUUUUUAAAAAUUACAUUCAUAGGAAAAGGGGAGGGAAGAGAAGAAGAAAACCUCUCCCCCUAAGCUCAUGGCUCUUUUUAGUCAGGCUGAGCCAACUAAAGUCAUGUACUUCCCUUAGAUAGGUAACUGUUGCCAGGAAAAUGCCCUGUGUGGAUUGGCCUGGACUAAGCAGGAUCCUCCUCUAAAGAGAGAGAUGAGAUGAAUGCCUGACCCAAGUCUGGGAUCUUGGGUGGGAAGCGUGUGGAUAGUAGGUCAGAGGUCAGCAGUGUCUGUGGUGUAGGAUGUAAUCCCAUCUCCACAGAGCUGCAUACAAGUGUGUUUAAGUGUGUGCAAGUGAUUAACUUUGAUUAGUAGUUUCAACUCUUUACAAUGAACAUAUUUAUCUUUUUUAAAAAAUAAAGCCAUUUUAAAAGAUCUUGCCAUAAAACAAUCAUUCCUUAAGUCACCACUUAGGAUAGACCUAGAAUAUUUGUCCUUUCUCAAGAGCACCAGAGAGUUUUCUGGUAAUCCACGCAAUAAACAGUUAUAAAAGGUAAUUGUUGAGAUCAGGGGAAGAUGGCAGAUAGGAGGCAGUGCUAAUGUGUAGCUCCCACAUGGAUGGACAAAACACCAUGUGGAGACUCACACUGUGACCCUGUUGUGCUCCAAGAACUAUCAUAGGAACAUACUGGGAAAACCAAAAGAAUUCACGGAUCCUUUGAAAGAAGACGCACACCACUGUAAAUUCUGUGGAACAGGAGAAAAACUGUCUUGGAGGAAGGCAUCCUUCUAUUCUACUGAUCAGAAAGCUGGACAAAGUCCCACUGCCAGGCUACACAGUUGGUGCCAUUUGCGGAGGUGACCUUUGACCUUUAACCCACGCGGCCACCCGCCCGAGCUCUUACCCCUGCUGCCCCUCGCGCGUCCCACUCCCCGUCCCUGCCGGAUCCGCUUCCCUGCGCUGGGCCCAGCGCGCCGCCAGGGAAGGGGCCGGAGCCUGGGAGCCCGCCCCGCCGUCGCCCGUCCUCCGCCCGCAGGCCCACCCGCAGCGGUCACGUGAAGGACCGAGCGCCGCGCGCCCAGGCGGGGCCUCCGGCCUGCACGAGGAGGGCAGAGUCCGUUGCGGCUGCCGCCCCGACGCCCGCGCAUCCCCGCUCGCCGCGCCCGCCGCCGCGAUGUCCGGGGCCGGCCUAGCCGCGGUGGUGAGCUGCCUGCGCCCGCAGCCCGGCGAGGAGCCGCAGACCCAUGAGGACCUUCUCCUGGCAGCUGCCUAUGUUUUGGAUGCCCAGUACAACAGAAAUGUUCCAUUUGAAACUCACCUCAGGCCAUCAGACGUUACUAUUUUUAUAACCACUAGACAACGCAGGUUGCCGCAUACUUCUUUAUUUGUGUAGACCUCGCUCUUGCCCUGUUUGAAGAGCCUGAGUUGCUUCCCCUGCCUUUCUUGGCCACCUCAAUAGCAGAAGUACUCUGCCUGACUGCAUACUUUGGCAGACUGGUACAUUUUGCAAAAGUCACUCCUCAAAUGGUUUUCUGGAAGGAUACAAAAGACAUCUGCACCAUGGUAACCACAGUGGCGAGUGUUCAUUGUAGUACCUGUAAGAGUUUAUGACCGAAGGCAGGAGCCAUGAAGAAAAAAGACUCAAUAGAUUUGCUUUUGAUGAAACAACAACACUUCCAUACAGUGAACGCCAUAAGCACAACUGCAAGCAAACCGCAAACUGAAGAACAAAUAGGGCAAAAUGUGGCAGUGCAGACAUUUCAGCAUAUCAAGAGCACUUCCAAAUUACAGGAAAAAAAAGAUAUCUCAAUAGAUAAUUUUGCUGAAGAUAAGUGAAGGCAACUCAUAAGGAAAAAAUAUGUAAAAUGGCCGAUAGGAAAGAUGUUUAACGUCACUAAUUAAAAAUUAUAGAAUAAAACGACAAUAAAAUACCAUGUGUUUGCCUAUAAAACAA